rnacentral:rRNA from 1 species
UAACUGAAGAGUUUGAUCAUGGCUCAGAUUGAACGCUGGCGGCAGGCUUAACACAUGCAAGUCGAGCGGGGGAAGGUAGCUUGCUACCGGACCUAGCGGCGGACGGGUGAGUAAUGCUUAGGAAUCUGCCUAUUAGUGGGGGACAACAUCUCGAAAGGGAUGCUAAUACCGCAUACGUCCUACGGGAGAAAGCAGGGGAUCUUCGGACCUUGCGCUAAUAGAUGAGCCUAAGUCGGAUUAGCUAGUUGGUGGGGUAAAGGCCUACCAAGGCGACGAUCUGUAGCGGGUCUGAGAGGAUGAUCCGCCACACUGGGACUGAGACACGGCCCAGACUCCUACGGAGGCAGCAGUGGGGAAUAUUGGACAAUGGGGGAACCCUGAUCCAGCCAUGCCGCGUGUGUGAAGAAGGCCUUAUGGUUGUAAAGCACUUUAAGCGAGGAGGAGGCUACUUUAGUUAAUACCUAGAGAUAGUGGACGUUACUCGCAGAAUAAGCACCGGCUAACUCUGUGCCAGCAGCCGCGGUAAUACAGAGGGUGCGAGCGUUAAUCGGAUUUACUGGGCGUAAAGCGUGCGUAGGCGGCUUAUUAAGUCGGAUGAAAUCCCCGAGCUUAACUUGGGAAUUGCAUUCGAUACUGGUGAGCUAGAGUAUGGGAGAGGAUGGUAGAAUUCCAGGUGUAGCGGUGAAAUGCGUAGAGAUCUGGAGGAAUACCGAUGGCGAAGGCAGCCAUCUGGCCUAAUACUGACGCUGAGGUACGAAAGCAUGGGGAGCAAACAGGAUUAGAUACCCUGGUAGUCCAUGCCGUAAACGAUGUCUACUAGCCGUUGGGGCCUUUGAGGCUUUAGUGGCGCAGCUAACGCGAUAAGUAGACCGCCUGGGGAGUACGGUCGCAAGACUAAAACUCAAAUGAAUUGACGGGGCCCGCACAAGCGGUGGAGCAUGUGGUUUAAUUCGAUGCAACGCGAAGAACCUUACCUGGCCUUGACAUACUAGAAACUUUCCAGAGAUGGAUUGGUGCCUUCGGGAAUCUAGAUACAGGUGCUGCAUGGCUGUCGUCAGCUCGUGUCGUGAGAUGUUGGGUUAAGUCCCGCAACGAGCGCAACCCUUUUCCUUACUUGCCAGCAUUUCGGAUGGGAACUUUAAGGAUACUGCCAGUGACAAACUGGAGGAAGGCGGGGACGACGUCAAGUCAUCAUGGCCCUUACGGCCAGGGCUACACACGUGCUACAAUGGUCGGUACAAAGGGUUGCUACACAGCGAUGUGAUGCUAAUCUCAAAAAGCCGAUCGUAGUCCGGAUUGAGUCUGCAACUCGACUCCAUGAAGUCGGAAUCGCUAGUAAUCGCGGAUCAGAAUGCCGCGGUGAAUACGUUCCCGGGCCUUGUACACACCGCCCGUCACACCAUGGGAGUUUGUUGCACCAGAAGUAGCUAGCCUAACUGCAAAGAGGGCGGUUACCACGGUGUGGCCGAUGACUGGGGUGAAGUCGUAACAAGGUAGCCGUAGGGGAACCUGCGGCUGGAUCACCUCCUUA